rnacentral:rRNA from 1 species
UACAGAGGUCCCGAGCGUUGUUCGGAUUCAUUGGGCGUAAAGGGUGCGUAGGUGGCGCGGUAAGUCGGGUGUGAAAUCUCGGAGCUUAACUCCGAAAUUGCAUUCGAUACUGCCGUGCUCGAGGACUGGAGAGGAGACUGGAAUUCAUGGUGUAGCAGUGAAAUGCGUAGAGAUCAUGAGGAAGACCAGUGGCGAAGGCGGGUCUCUGGACAGUUCCUGACACUGAGGCACGAAGGCCAGGGGAGCAAACGGG